UACGUAGGGUGCAAGCGUUGUCCGGAAUUAUUGGGCGUAAAGCGCUCGUAGGCGGUUCGUCGCGUCGGCUGUGAAAACCUGAGGCUCAACCUCAGGCCUGCAGUCGAUACGGGCGGACUUGAGUACUGCAGGGGAGACUGGAAUUCCUGGUGUAGCGGUGAAAUGCGCAGAUAUCAGGAGGAACACCAAUGGCGAAGGCAGAUCUCUGGGCCGUAACUGACGCUGAGGAGCGAAAGCAUGGGGAGCGAACAGG
rnacentral:rRNA from 1 species